rnacentral:tRNA from 1 species
GUAGGAGUCGUCUAAUGGUUUAAGACACGCGGUUUGGAACCGUGUAAAUGUUCGUUCGAAUCGAGCCUCCUGCA